UGUAAUAAAACCGAACGUUUGGCCUCUCAGUUCCCCAGAGAUGACAUGCUGGGGUCAACCAUCUGUGUUCCGCUGUUGGAGUGAGAGAGGAACGGAUGUGCGGUACACUUGGUACAGAGUUGGACACCCAAACCACAUUGUCCUGCACCAAUCCACCGAUCUCUAUCUCCAUUGCUCAAACAUCACUGAAGACAGUCAGAUUUUCUGCUCUGCCUUUAAUGAUGUCAGCAGCCAAAGUAGUGAAUUUGUUUCUCUUCAACUACUUCAGCCUGCAGACAAGGACUGUGUUUAUCUCAUCUCAUCAAGCAUUUUUUCUAGCUAUGAUUGUAUAAGAAGCACAACAACACUCUCAACAUCCAUUCAAACCACAGAGAUAUUCCUGAGCUCUGCAACAGUUUCUCAUCUCACAUGGAGUCAGAAUAAAACCAUGUCAUGUUCUGGUUUACCACUGUGGUAUGAGUGUCUUCGUUGGAUUCUCUCCUCAGUUAUGAUUACCAUCUUAUGUGUAGUGCACACAUGGUCAAAAUAUACAUCAAAAAGGCUUAGGGCUCAAGGCAAACACCCCAAAGACAUCUGAAUGAAAAACAUGGUCGCAGCUUCAUUGCAAGUGUUUCUUUAUUUAUGAUGUGCAUGUACAAACUUUUCAUUCUUUUUAAUUCACACAUUGACUUAAAAAUUAUAUUUCUUGUUCUCAUUAUCCACAAGCUGUACAAUUAAUUCAGCUCCAAACUGCAUGAUUCAUACAAAUUUUGUUUUGUAGACAUUUAAGCUUUAGUUGUGUCUUUUUUUCGUAAAAUGUAAAAAAUAAAUAAAUAUAUAUGGACAGGUGGUCCUUGCAUUACUUACAUUACAAGCAGAUAUCAACAUUAAUGCAAUUAAUAUUAUUAAGGAUUGCAGGGGUUAACUUGUAUCCUGUUUUUCCCAUCGACACAAUUCAAUGGGAAUGAAACCAUGCAAGACUAAAACUGAAAGUGACCCGUUAUCUUGUCUGCCUUUCCUGAAAGGAAAAUAUCACACACAAUGAGCUUUUGUUGAAGUUGUUUUGGGACCUUGUUGCAAGGACAGUGAUCAAGGCGAAAAAAAUACUGUAAAGUAAAUCAGUAAAGACAGAUUUUUCCCUAUACUUUGAAAGUUUUAUAUACACAUUUGAAAAAUAAAAAUAAAAAAGGCAACCGAACACAAUUUCUUUUUUAUUAACUAUAUUUUUUAGAUUUUUUUUUUUUUUUAAUGCAAGAAUUCCCAAACUUUGUCAGCUGAACCCCUCUGAUCUAAAAUAUUCAAUAAGUACCCGCUGAGAUUCAAUUUUAGAUAUCAGUCAUUUCAAACAUUCAUGUUCAUGGUUUUCUGGUGUCAGAUGACAUACAGGGAAAUAAAAUGUUUUAUUUCUUUUAAUUAUUCAUUUAUUUAUUUAUAUAUUUUUAUUUUUAUUUUAAGAGUAACAGGCAUGAAUCAUUAUAGUGUAAUAGCAUUAAUGACAACAGCAGCAAAA